GUAGGUGAACCUGCGGAAGGAUCAUUAGCGAAGUUCGGAAUGCGUGUCCGCUGUUGAUGCUGCCCAGCAAUGGGAUGUGCUCGCUCGGAUGCGUGUCCCUUCACUAUCCCACCCCAUUGUGAACCAAGUGUGUGAGCCGAAGAGAGAUCGGAGGCUCGCAUGCAACCCUUAACAUACCCCAAUGAAGUCUCAGAAUGUAACUUGCAUUAACUCGCACAAAUAUAACUUUCAACAACGGAUCUCUUGGCUCUC
rnacentral:misc_RNA from 1 species